GUUAAAUCUUCAGUGUUUGUUUUAUCUUAUGUAUUCUUGGAAAAAAAGGUUUCAGAGACUGGAAGAUGAGCCAUCCACUAGCUUAGGGAGAGAAGCUAGUGUAAUCACUGGGAGCUGAAUUGAGAUCGUAUUUUGACUUAUCUCUACUUACGCUUUUUUCCCCAUUUUAUCCCUACCUUCUGUUUAAGAGCAUUUUAAUGCAGGUCUUUCCAUCUCUCAUGAAUAAUUAAAAUGAACUUCAUAUGUCAUAUAGUGCAGGGCCACCAUACUUUUUCUUAAGGCACCAGAUAGUAAAUAUUUUAGGUUUUGUGAGCCAUUUGGUUAAUUUGACAACUGUCCAUCUGUGCUGUUGUACCAGGAAAAAACAGCCAUAGACAAUCCUUGAACAAAUGGGUGUGGUUAUGUUCCAGUAAAAGUUUAUUAACAGAAACAGUGGCUGCUCCAGGGGUUGUAGUUUGCUGACCUUUGAUGCGUGUAUUAAGUUCUGCUCUAUCUCUUAGUAUUCUUAGAGUAUAUUUUUUUGUAAGGAAACUUCAUAUAUUGACAGCUUUAGGUCUUUAGGUUGCCUUCUUAUAAUGCCCUUGUUAGGCUCCUUUCUAUACCUGGAGCGUUAUUAGGCAUGAAUGAAAUAGAAUGUUUGAAACCCAAAAGGUCCAACUCCUUUGGGUAGAUGAGCAAAUGGAGGUCCAGUAACAUUAAAUAAAGCCGCUAAUGGGGCCUGGGUGGCUCAGUCAGUUAAGCGUCUGCCUUCGGCUCAGGUCAUGAUCCCAGGGUCCUGGGAUUGAGCCCCGCAUCGGGCUCCCUGCUUGGUGGGGAGUCUGCUUUUCACUCUCCCUCUGCACCUCCCCUAGCUCAUGCUCACUCACUUGCUUUCUUUCUUUCUCAAGUAAAUAAAAUCUUUAAAAAAAAUAAAAAUAAAUAAAGCUACUAAUUAGUAGCAGAGCCAGUUCCCCAUCUCAUGUCUCAGAAUUGUCAGCCUUACCUUUUCUGUAUGAUUGACGUUCUUAUAUUUUAAGAUAGCUGUCACUUUACCUUAGUUAUUCAUCAUCCAACAGGUACUUUGGGUAAAAUAUCCUUUGACUGUUCUUUAUACAUUAUUCUCAGGCACUUUAUUGUCCUUGUUGGUUCUCUUAUAAGCUACACAGGCCUUGUAGUAGCCCCCAAUUUUUGCAUUUAGUGGAGAUGAAAAAAACACCUUAUUUAACUAAGAGUAUACACUGUGCUGUGUGCAUGAGAUCUGGCCGUGAACUAGAAAGCUCUGGUUCUCAUCUUCAUGGAGCUUAGUCUAGCACAGAGGACUUAAAAAAGUGAUGGCAGUGGAAAAGAACCUCCUUGUUGAUAACGAGACCAGAGAAUAGAGAGGCUGUUGAAUGGCAAGCUUUGAGGUGGUCAUAGGAGGACUGGUAGGGGUAUAAAGUCUUAAUGAAUGAAGGAGAGAGAAAUGGCUAAUGCUAUAGGCAAUUGAUGAUGGAAGGUGGUAUUGUUGAUUUGAGUUUAGGUAAGCAAGCAUUUUUUAAGAGGGCUAGGGGAAGAAUCGUCCAGAAAUGGCUUUGAGGAGUGAUGAACUUACCAACACCAACACUGGGCUCUGAGGGUGUGGGAUGUGGAGAUCUCAUUCUCUGCUCUCAUAACACUACAACGUCCUAGGGAAAGAUCUCAAAUUUAAUGACUAGGAGAUGCAAUGACUUUCAGUGAAGAGUUUGAAGACUCAGGGAAAUAUAGAGGACUAUCCAUGCCUGUGUCUCUAGUAACAUGUCUCCUGCAUCACCCAACAGAAAAUAGGAAAACUCUAAUGUUUUCUCUUGUCACGGUAUUUAAGAAAGUUAGGUGAUAAGGGCUUACCUAAACUCCAGAAAAUAUCAUUAUAAAUGAUUCUUUAAGAACAUGGUUUCUUUACACAUGUAUUGUUUCUCUGGUUUGGGUACAUAUAUUUUAGCUCAAAAUUUUCUUGCAACAAUAUGUGUUAUGAGAGAUUUUUCUUUCUUACACGAGCCAUUUGGACAAAAUGUGAAAUAUAAUUUAUUUUUAUUUUUUACUUUUUAAAAAGAUUUUAUUUAUUUAUUUGACAGAGAGAGACACAGCGAGAGAGGGAACACAAACAGGGGGAGUGGGAGAGGGAGAAGGAGAAGCAGGCUUCCUGCCAAGCAGGGAGCCCGAUGCGGGGCUCGAUCCCAGAACCCUGGGACCAUGACCUGAGCCGAAGGUAGACACUUAACGACUGAGCCAUCCAGGUGCCCCAAAAUGCUGCCCCCUGUACGUUUAUUUUAAUUAUGAAAUUAUAAUGCUUGACAUUGGAGAGAAAGGAACAUAAGCACCCGAAAUGAGUCAUUUUUGUUGACUAUAAAUGAGUCAGAGUUACAUCUGAGGGUGAGAGUACUCUCUUACAGUUUUGGCUUUUUCCCCAUUCGUUUUCUUAUUUUCUUCUAUUCCUCUUUCUGCCCUUCCUGCAUAUGUGCACAGUCUUGUGCUCUUGUAUCACUGAUGUCAGAGGACUUUUACCAGGCUUCAUUUGUGGCCCUGGGUCCUAAACAUAGAAGUGAGAACAUAAAUGGACUAUACUGGCAUACCUAUUAAUUGUAAUAUCCAGAGAGCUCCUCUUCAUUGUUUAAAAUUAAUACCUGGGAAUUUACUAUAAAUGAAAAGGGGCUGUGUACUUGUAACUCUGGGACAUCCAGCUGCCCUCGCUUAUGCCAUUGAGAAUAGCAUUACUUUGUGAAAAAAAAUUACUAAUGAGCCCAGGCAGUUCGGACCUGUAGCACUCUGCCCAGGUAAACAUUCUCUUUAGAGACUCUUUAGACCAAUGGCUCUCAAAUAUGAGUUGUUCGUUAGAAUCACCUGGAGGGCUUGUGAAAACACAGAUUUCAAUGUUUCCUCCUCAGGUGUUUAAUUCAGGAAGUGGGGGUGGGGGCUGAGAAGAUGUAUUUCUAACACACUCCCAGAUGCUCCUGCCUCUGUGCUUGAUCUCAGGACCGUACUUUGUGAACCAGUGCUUAAAAUCCCCUGGAUGAUGGGAACAACCUCACAUGACAUCUGUUAUCUUAGGAUGUUUGGCAGGGUGAAUUUAAGAUUGUGCACAACUAGCUGUGUUACCGAAUGACCUAUCACCGCCACUAACUCAGGAGCCGAGCAGGUGGGCCCUGGUGGUCCUGGGGCCAAUUGCUCUGUGCCAGGGAACCCCAAGGAGGCUGGACAAAUCGGAAGCACAGCUCCUGGCUGGGUUUGCCAACACUGUUGUGGAACAAACUCAGAUAAACUGGUUGUAAGAGAAGUCAGUAACUCAAGAGAAGAUGGUUUGGAAAAGAGAAAGGGAGAAAUGUAGGGUGCUGCCAGCAAGGAACUUGGUGGCAGGCUCAAGCUUUAACCACUGACUUCUCCACCAGCAAGAUGGACACCUACUGUGUUACAGGGAGAGGUUGGGGUGGAGUACAUGCAAGAGAGCAGGCGGGAGUGCGUGAUCAUGGGUGGGAGUCACUAUGUGUUCAGCCCACGAUCACGGGCAGGGAAGGGGACAUGUGGGAUGUGGUCGUCUAGGCAUUCCAUUGCUAUCCGGGCUUUUCUGGUCUGGCAGUUGGGAUGUUCAGGUCUUCGCAAAAUGUCUUUGUCAAUGCCUCGAGAAAGUUUGAUAAGAAAUAAGCACAAUGGGUUUUCAUUGGAGCAUCAGUUAAGCAGUCUUGCCUGUUUCUGGUUUUAACUGUUGGGGUCUAUAGUUGAGCAAGACAGCUCGCUAAGAGCUGCUCUGUUUGUGAUACUACAAUAUAGAAACUUUUGUCUUCUCUAAGAAAUUUACUUUUUUAUUUUUUCUGGCUUUUAUUUAAAUUACAUUUGCUUAAGGAUAGACUCAGCGUUUCUGAUCAGUUCUGAGCGAUUGGUCUUUGGCUGUAUAAAUCAGAUAUUCAAUAUAAAGUUACUUCUUUUGGAUUAUGGCAGCUUUGUAUUAUUUAGAUAAUUAAUUGUGAUAUGUUUGGUUGAAUGUGAGAAAUAAUUUUCCUUUUGUCUUUUUUUAAUGCAACCGCUAUGCAGGUAAAUAAAACUGAGUUUUGAGGGAGUGCCUUCUAUACUAGUGAAAACCCAUUAUAAUUAGACUGACUAGCUGUGGGAUUAAGUACCUGGCAAAACGUGAGAAUCACAGCUUCAGCCUAUCCAUGAAGUUACGAAAUUCAACUACUAUCUAUUGCUGUUAAGUCCUAGUCGCGGUGGGAGUGCCUCCCAAAGUGUACAUGGUGCUCACUGCACCAGGGGUGAGACAUGUUGGGAGACUGUGUGUGUGACAGAUACAUGCCUUGAAGGAGUGAGGAUGAAACCCUGAAACCAGAGGGUGUUAAUACUGCUUCUAGGAGAGGAGGCAUUUUGGAGGAUGAGUACGGUUCGAAUGUGUGAGUUAGGAUGGGGUGUGUGUCAGGGCUCAGCGAGCAGUAGCACAGGCAGGCAGCUGGGCUGGAGGCUGAGGGGGUACAGGCAGUGUUUUACUAGAUUUAGCUUCAGUAGAAGCAGUGUCACUUUCAGGGUUUUGUUGGCCACUUGUUUGUUAUUUCUAAGACAAUCUGGGGCAUUUAAGGCUGAAGAAACUUCUUUGUUUAGAAAUAAAAGCGAAGUUGCCCCAUGUAAUACCUAAAUAGCUGUACACAUUCUUACGCAUACGUUUGAUUUAGCCUGUGUUGCAUUUAUACGUUCCAUAUAAUUUUUUUUUUUUUUAAGAUUUUAUUUAUUUAUUUGAGACCGAGAGAAUGAGAAACAGAGCAUGAGGAGGGGAGGGUCAGAGGGAGAAGCAGACUCCCUGCCGAGCAGGGAGCCCGAUGCGGGACUCGAUCCCGGGACUCCGGGAUCAUGACCUGAGCUGAAGGCAGUCGCUUAACCGACUGAGCCACCCAGGCGCCCCAUAUAAUUUUGUUUUAAUGUGGAAUAAAAGCAAAAGAUUUUUUUCUCCCUUGAGAUUUGACGUGGUGCCUGAUUGUCUUUCCUGAAUGCAGAAUGAGUUGACAUGUGGCUUUAUUUUGGUCGAGGUGCACACUUGCAAAGACAAGAUCCUUUCUUUACUUUCAGUGACUUCCUGCCACUAUCUAUUGGUAAAUAUAUGUAUAUCAUAAUUUAUUUUAAAAACAACCAACCUUCCCCCACCCCAGCCCCAACUAAUUACACUCUAAGUUUAGACAUUUGGCAUAUCAUGCCAUCCCACAGCAGUGCUGUGCAUUAAAUGUUAAUAGGCUACUAAAUCACAUGAACACGUCAUCAGCUGAUUAUUUCGUAUUGAUGCUUUGUACCUUCACCUUAGAACUCUUGAAUUCCCCAUUGCCAGCUCUGAAAUAUGAAAAAAAAAAGUUGCGUAGAUACAUUAGUACUUUUUCCAGAUAAAAAUAUAAUGGAUGGAGGGGUGGGCCCCUGGGUGGCUCACUCAGUUGGGUGUGUGCCUUUGGCUCAGGUCAUGAUCCCAGGGUGCUGGGAUUGAGCCCCACAUUGGGCUCCCUGCUCAUCAGGGAGCCUGCUGCUCCCUCUGCCUCUCCCCCUUACUUGGGCUUGCUUUCUCUCUCUCUCAAAUAAAUAAAUAAAAUCUUAAAAAUAUAUAUAAUCGAGUGGUGUAAAGCCUGGGGUUUCUGUUCAGAAUAAAUGUGAACAGCAUGCAUUCAGUAUUUUCGUUUAAUUAGAAAAUAAAUAUUUUUCUUGAGAGGUAGAAUGUGCGUUGAAUUUGUGAAAAGUAAAACCUGAUGUAUGGAUUGUGUUGGUUCCUUAUUCAGAGAUCAUUGAAAUCUGUCUUUGUGUGUUUCUUUGUGUGUUUCAUACUCACAACCCUGAGAUCAAGAGUCGCACCCCACCUGCUGGGCCAGCCAGGUGCCCGUGAGAAUACUUCUAAAACUUUGUUUUUUAUUUACAACAGAGUGUAUCUGUUCCUUUAUCAUUAUGGAUAUCAUUUGUUCCACUAAUCUGACUGCCUUUGAUCAUAAUGUAAAAAAGGUUUCUGGACAUUUUACACACAUUAUUGAAAUGCUUGCCACAUGUAUUGGGAAGAGGCCUUAGGUAGUGCGGGUUUAAGCUGACACACAUUGAUACUGCUCACAGUUUCUUACAGAAGGGUGAAAAGAGCAGGGGUAUUAGACUGGACUUUAUAAUUCUCCUGAACUGUGAUGAUAAAGUCAGAAUUUGUAACCACUGUAAGGGGAAAACACAUCAGAGGUAAGAUGUUAAAAUCAGAUAACUUAUGUGGCUUGCUGUGAUUAUUGGCAUAGGCUUAGCUAAGUUUAGCAUUUAAUUAUAUGCUAACAUUAUUAUGCAAAGGUAACGUACAUCCUUAGUUUUAUUUUAUACAUUAUUUAUAGCUGUCAAAACACAGGAUAGUUAAAGGUCUACUUCUUGUGGAGCCACUGAAGUGAUACCCUAUUGUUGGUGCGGUGUCAGGGGAGUGGGGGGUGGGGGGGGGGAAGGAGCAGAGGUGCAUUUGUUUGUGACAUUGAAAAUAUGAAAAGUGUAAGAAUUUUACAUUUUCUGGGAUAACUACAUAAAAAUUCAUUUAUCAUUAAGACAUUAGAUUCUGUUUGAGCUUAAAAAAUGUAUUGAGCACCUCCUGUAUGCUCGAUUAAAUGGUGGUGGGUGUUAGGGAUGCAAGAUGAAUUAAGAUGGAUCUCAGGGAGGUUGGAAGUUUACCAGCAAUUUUUCUCUUGAUUUGCUGUACCUUCUGAAUUUUUCUGAUGAACGUAUCUUAUGUAUAAUCGUACAGACUUGGACUGAUGUCUUGAGCCUCGUCGUUCCUGACCCCGCUGGUAAAGAGUUAAUGGUGAUUUCAUGAUCUGCAUCAGGGUAGGAAGUGGAGUGGACUGGCCAGAUUGAGUAGGCUUUCUUGGCUUUCAUGUUGUCUUUUUGGGAGAGGGCUAAAAGUAGAGGUCUGGCAGUCUUGCCUCUGGCUAGCAUU